rnacentral:rRNA from 1 species
CGGACAGAUGGGAGCUUGCUCCCUGAUGUUAGCGGCGGACGGGUGAGUAACACGUGGGUAACCUGCCUGUAAGACUGGGAUAACUCCGGGAAACCGGGGCUAAUACCGGAUGGUUGUUUGAACCGCAUGGUUCAGACAUAAAAGGUGGCUUCGGCUACCACUUACAGAUGGACCCGCGGCGCAUUAGCUAGUUGGUGAGGUAACGGCUCACCAAGGCGACGAUGCGUAGCCGACCUGAGAGGGUGAUCGGCCACACUGGGACUGAGACACGGCCCAGACUCCUACGGGAGGCAGCAGUAGGGAAUCUUCCGCAAUGGACGAAAGUCUGACGGAGCAACGCCGCGUGAGUGAUGAAGGUUUUCGGAUCGUAAAGCUCUGUUGUUAGGGAAGAACAAGUGCCGUUCAAAUAGGGCGGCACCUUGACGGUACCUAACCAGAAAGCCACGGCUAACUACGUGCCAGCAGCCGCGGUAAUACGUAGGUGGCAAGCGUUGUCCGGAAUUAUUGGGCGUAAAGGGCUCGCAGGCGGUUUCUUAAGUCUGAUGUGAAAGCCCCCGGCUCAACCGGGGAGGGUCAUUGGAAACUGGGGAACUUGAGUGCAGAAGAGGAGAGUGGAAUUCCACGUGUAGCGGUGAAAUGCGUAGAGAUGUGGAGGAACACCAGUGGCGAAGGCGACUCUCUGGUCUGUAACUGACGCUGAG